rnacentral:rRNA from 1 species
UACGUAGGGGGCAAGCGUUGUCCGGAAUCAUUGGGCGUAAAGAGCGCGUAGGCGGCCCUGUAAGUCCGCUGUGAAAGUCAAGGGCUCAACCCUUGGAUGCCGGUGGAUACUGCAGCGCUAGAGUCCGGAAGAGGCGAGUGGAAUUCCUGGUGUAGCGGUGAAAUGCGCAGAUAUCAGGAGGAACACCGAUGGCGAAGGCAGCUCGCUGGGACGGUACUGACGCUGAGGCGCGAAAGCGUGGGGAGCAAACAGG